rnacentral:rRNA from 1 species
UACGGAGGGUGCAAGCGUUAUCCGGAUUCACUGGGUUUAAAGGGUGCGUAGGCGGGUAUUUAAGUCAGUGGUGAAAUCCUAGAGCUUAACUCUAGAACUGCCAUUGAUACUAUUUAUCUUGAAUAUUGUGGAGGUAAGCGGAAUAUGUCAUGUAGCGGUGAAAUGCUUAGAUAUGACGUAGAACACCUAUUGCGAAGGCAGCUUACUACGCAUAUAUUGACGCUGAGGCACGAAAGCGUGGGGGAUCAAACAGGAUUAGAUACCCUGGUAGUCCACGCCCUAAACGAUGGAUACUCGACAUACGCGAUACACUGUGUGUGUCUGAGCGAAAGCAUUAAGUAUCCCACCUGGGAAGUACGACCGCAAGGUUGAAACUCAAAG